CUCCGCUUGGUGUAGUUGGUGUAAGUUCUACAGUCCAUCGAAAGGUCCCUAGUUCGAUUCUGGGAGCGGAGA